rnacentral:misc_RNA from 1 species
UUGAAUAAACUUGGUUGGGUUGUUGCUGGCUCCUAGGAGCAUGUGCACACCUGAUCCAACUUUAAACCACCUGUGCACCUUGUGUAGACUUGAAUAGCUCUCGAGACAAUGUACUCGGUUUGAGGAUUGCUGAUGUGUAAAGCAUGGCUUUCCUUGUGUUUCAUGUCUAUGUCUUAUCACACCCCCAUAAAGAAUGUAUUAGAAAGUGAUAUAAGGGCCAUCGUGCCUUUAAACACAAAUA